rnacentral:lncRNA from 1 species
AGUGAUUCUCGUGCCUGUCUCCUGAGUAGCUGGGACUACAGAUGAACACCACAGACGGGGUAAAUGAUUUGCCUAAAGUCACACAGCUCGUAAGGGCCAGAGCCCACACUUUCAUCCACUAGCCUAUAUUCUGUGCUGUCAUCACUGAUAGCAGUGACUGAGACUGAGAGACAAAGUCACUUAAGAGCUGAUGGCUGGUAAGUGACAAGAACCAGGAUUUACAAUUCAGGUAACUGUCCAUCAGUAGAGCCUGUGUCUCAACAUAUAACCUAUGUCUGCUCACACGCCCUAGAAAGCACUGACAGUUCAGGACUCCCAGUGUGCUCCCCAACAGCGUGCAGUGGCCAAGGCCAAGAUCUUCCCUGGGGAGUGAAGUGGUGAGAGGGGCGCAGGACAGGCAAGGACAGAGUCACGUAACUCUUAGAGGAGUCAGGCAUGGGCGUGCGGCUGAGGGCUGGCCCCUGGGCCUCAGCAUACAGACUUCCUCUAGUGCAGGGGCCCACAAGCUUGUUCUGUAAAGGGUCAUGCGUGGCCUCCAUCACAUAUUCUUUAUUCUUCUCAUUCUUAUAACCCUUUAAAAAUGUGAAAAGCCAUUCCCCAGGUUGGGGGUGGCCUGCGAGCUCUCAUGUCCAUUCCUGCCAUGAUCUCUGGGCGCACCCUCUCUGUCACCACUUCAGGGACAGAGGGACUCUGAGUUCUGACAACCGUCCCUUUCUGAGAAGCCAUUCACCCAGCACACUGUUCAGUAAACUUCCACUGGGAUCUCCUGGAGACCAGGCCAUGACCCAGUCAUGAAGGAGGGAUGGAGCGAGGACAGUCUUUGCUCUUAGGAGCUCAGGCUCCUGCAGGGGAAGAGACAGAGCUACGACUCAGCGUGAUGAGUACAGGGUGGAACAGGAGCUCAGAGGCAAGCCAUUGCCCAGCCCUGAGGACAGUGGAGGCAAGAAAGGCUGCUCAAAACAGGUCCCGCCUGAGCAGAGGCUUAAAGGGGCAAGGGGUUGCCCAAGAGAACAGGGCUGGACCCCACAGGGCACAGAGGUGGGAGAACACUGGGACCUGGGGCCUAAGUCCUCUGGAAUGCAGAGGCAGUGAGCACCAGAACAUCACUGUGCACCAUGGGGAGGGUGCGGGACUCAGACUAAAGGCGCUGGCCAAGGUGGGACAAGGAUGGCCAAGAUGCACAGAAAGAGCCUAGUGACUGACAGGGGAAUGGAUUCAGGCUGGGAAGGAGGCUGUGGCUGUUGCCCAAGCAAAA